rnacentral:rRNA from 1 species
GACGAACGCUGGCGGCGUGCCUAAUACAUGCAAGUCGAACGCAGGGGGGACGGGUGAGUAACACGUGGGUAACCUCCCAUCAGAGGGGAUAACACUUGGAAACAGGUGCUAAACCGAUACUGAUGGAUGGACCCGCGGUGCAUUAGCUAGUUGGUGGGGUAAAGGCUCACCAAGGCCACGAUGCAUAGCCGGCCUGAGAGGAGGAUCGGCCACACUGGGACUGAGACACGGCCCAGACUCCUACGGGAGGCAGCAGUAGGGAAUCUUGGGCAAUGGGCGAAAGUCUGACGGAGCAACGCCGCGUGAGUGAAGAAGGUUUUCGGAUCGUAAAGCUCUGUUAUUAGAGAGGCGGUAUCUAACCAGGAAGCCACGGCUAACUACGUGCCAGCAGCCGCGGUAAUAC